rnacentral:rRNA from 1 species
AUUGAACGCUAGCGGCAGGCCUAACACAUGCAAGUCGAACGAGUGGCGGACGGGUGAGUAAUGUCUGUGACACUGCCCGAUGGAGGGGGAUAACUACUGGAAACGGUAGCUACUACCGCAUACCCUCGGAUGUGCCCCGAUGGGCUUAGCUAGUCGGUGGGGUAACGGCUCACCGAGGUGACGAUCCCUAGCUGGUCUGCGAGGAUGACCAGCCGAACGGGAACUGAGACACGGGCCAGACGCCUAGGGGAGGAAGCAGGGGGGAAGAGUGCACAAUGGGCGCAAGCCUGAUGGAGCCAUGCCGCGUGUAUGAAGAAGGCCUUCGGGUUGUAAAGUACUUUCAGCGAGGAGGCGUUACUUGCAGAAGAAGCACCGGCUAACUCCGUGCCAGCAGCCGCGGUAAUAC